CAGGAAAUAUAGGGAAUUAUAUUAAAAUAGAAAACCUUUUUUGGUGUUUUCAGAAAUGUAUUGAAAAUUCUAAAUGUGUGUCAUUUUUCUUCAAUGAGAACCAGCAGAAAUGCAUCCUACAUCCGAUAUCGUUCUGGAACAAGACACCAUGUCAAUCUGAAUCUGGCUGGAAAUUUUACAACACAAAAGAUGCUUCAGGAAGAUGUCCAUCAUCAAACGGUUUAACAUACUACAGAUAUUUAGAUUUAUGUUACAAAAUACAUGAUACAGUAAAAAUGGAUUACAAUGGUAUAGUCAAACCAACGUGUUUCUCUGAUGGACUAGAACUGAUAAGGAUCGAUUCUGCUGAGAAGAAUAGCUACGUACUGGAAGUUACUGACUAUGUAGAAAAAUAUGGUUCAGGGUUACAUAUAUGUAUACAGGGAACCAAUAGUAUCAGUGGAAACCUAGCUUGGACAUUUGAUGAUGGAUCCCCUAUGACCUACUUUAAUUGGGAUAAAACUUACACAAUUCCACAACCAGAUAACAAAGCAUCAGAGAGUGUGAUGGCAAUUGCUAGACCAGCUGGAACCUGGCAUGACUUCUAUCUAAAUACAAAUUUCGGAUGCUUGUUUUUAUGCGAAAAGAGAUAAUAAAACUAAAAUAAUUCAU